GACGAACGCUGGCGGCGUGCCUAAUACAUGCAAGUAGGACGCAGUUGCGACCGGGUGUGUCACGCUUAGGUAACUUCCUAUUCGAUGGGGAUAACUAUUGGAAACGAUAGCUAAUACCGCAUACUAUUAGAUUGAACUGCGUUGUAUUAGAUAGUUGGUAGGUUAAUGGCCUACCUAGGCGACGAUACAUAGCUGAGAUGAGAGGGUGAGCGGCGACACUGGGACUGAGACACGGCCCAGAAUCCUACGGGAGGGAGCAGAGGGGAAUAUUCGGCAAUAGGGGGGAACGUGAGCGGGCAAAGCCGCGUGAGUGAAGAGGGGUUUCGGAGAGUAAAGAUCUGUUGUUAAGGAAGAGGUAAUUAACCAGAAAGGGACGGCUAAAUAAGUGCCAGCAGCCGGGGUAAUAC
rnacentral:rRNA from 1 species